AGAAGGGAUCAGGAGCCGGAGCUGAGGGGAAAGAGGCCGGUCCGGGUCUGGGCGCUGCCGCUGCUCGCCCGAGGUCUGCAGGCGGGGCUGCGGCUCAGACCUCAGCUCCUGGGCACAGUCUACAAGGCUCCGCCGGGCCAACGUGGGAGAGCCGCAGUCAGCGGCCGCCGCAUCAUGUCAACCAAGGGCGAGCGGGCCAGGGAGAUCCUGAGGGGCUUCAAACUAAAUUGGAUGAACCUUCAGGAUGCUGAGACAGGGAAGAUACUUUGGCAAGGAAAAGAAGACCUGUCAGGCCCUGGAGUGGAGCAUGAAGCCCGUGUUCCCAAGAAAAUCCUCAAGUGCAAGGCAGUGUCUCGAGAAUUGAACUUCUCUUCAGCGGAGCAAAUGGAAAAAGUCCGCCUGGAACAAAAAGUUUACUUCAAAGGGCAAUGCCUAGAAGAAUGGUUCUUCGAGUUUGGCUCUGUGAUCCCUAACUCCACAAACACCCGGCAGUCCCUGAUAGAGGCAGCGCCCGAGUCCCAGAUGAUGCCAGCAAGCGUGCUAACUGGAAGUGUUAUAGAAACAAAGUUUUUUGACGACGAUCUUCUUGUAAGCACAUCCAGAGUGAGACUUUUCUACAUUUGAGAGAAGAAUAUGUGUGCAUUUCAAGAAUUCAUUUUUUUAGGGGGAAGGAGGAAACUGUUUACUUUUUUCCUCCAUACAUUUGAUUUUUGACACUUCCACCCCUAAUUCCCUCUACGGCAAAACCCACCUGCGGCCACCAGGGGACCAGCUCUGUGUAGGUACCAGAUGGCUUUUUUCUCUCAAGCCACCAUCUUCAAUUGACCAGAUUAAACUCCCAAUCCCAGACCAGGGCAGAGGGCAUGCCUCAACUCCUUCUUGGAGUAGACACGGGGACAA